AGAGGUUUGAAUGGAACCCCGCCAAGCCUCCAUCUCCAUCCCCUCUCCAGGCGAAGGCCCACGGAUUGAUUUGCGAUGUUCCUGCUCCCCAGCUUCUCUUUUGCAACCCCUCGCCCUUCUGCCACAAAAAGAAUCCUCUUUCAAGAAUGAGCCAGUGAGCAAGGCUGCCUUCUGACUCAUGCAAUAUGCAGCAUGCAUGAGAUCUGGGCACUCAGUCUGUCACCUCCCAGGGUAAUUAAUCAAUGUGUUACUGCAAUUAGAAGUUUAUGGGACCCAUCACAACCUGUGACUGUGAUGACAUAGCCAAGGAUUAUGUCAAUCACGUCAUCCCUGUGUGCAGGACAAUAAUGGCGGGCCAGAAACAAAACUCUGGCUCUGACAUCCUCUGCAGGUAUUUAGAGACACUUUGCGCCGAGUUUUCCCAUCUGCAGAAUGGAACCCAUGAAAGUCCACCUCUCAGGGUGGACAUGAAGAAAAAACUCAACGGAGCAGAAGAGAAGAAACUCCUCUCUUUAAACACACGUCAUCACAUGGGGUUACAGAAACGUGACUCUGCAAAAGCAUUAGUCCAACUCUAGUGCUCAGCAGGAAAGAUCGUGCGAACCCCAGGGGCACUUGGCAAUCUCUGGAGACACCAUUAGUUAUCACAACUUGUGGGCAAUGUCACUGGCUAUCCAGUGAGUAGGAGCCAGCAGUGGUGCUAACCAUACUACAAGGGAGACACAGGAAAAUAUGGCAUCUAAUGUCAAUGAAGCUGAGUGGAAAAGCCUGCAGUAAGUCAAAACUCUAUAACUCUUGACAAGUUGCUUCUCAGGCCAGUAAUCCUCACCAGGGGUGAAUUUACCUUCUGGAAACACUGAACAAUAUCUGGCUGUCUGUCAAAAGUCAACAACUGGCCACUGAUAGCCCAUUUGUGCCGCCAAGUACCCAUAAUGCACGAGGCCAUAUCAUCCAUGAGAAAACAAUUAUCCAUUUCCAAAUAGCCAUUGUGAAUAAACCUAGCCUAGAUGCACAGUAAUUAUCCCUUAUCUGAGUUGUCAUUCCGGACAGUUUCAGUGACAUGCAACCAACACACAUUCUGGAAAUAAUAAUAUUUAUUUUCACUCUUGCAGGAGAGAGGCCACAUGCAUAUAACUUUUAUAUCAUCAUUAGAAUCACUCCAUGGCACUGUUUGUUAUUGCAGGCAGUUGUUUACAAUGACUAACUCAUAAAUCGAACAUCGUGAUGGCUAUGCGCACACUGAAAAGGGAGCGUACAAAAGGGUAUGUGUGGUCCUACCCCCAGUUUAAGGCACCUGAAGAUCCUUAAACAUAUUCUUCAUCAUUAAGAAAGAGAAUGACUAUAUGCUCACUCCAAGAAAAUACCUUCUUCUUAAUUCACUAAGUCAGAACUUAAUUUUGUUUUGUUGUUAGCAGAAUCUAGCCUUGCAAAAGCUGAGAGUGCACCAAGCAGAAUCUAACACCCUGGUCAAAACUUUGCCACCUGUAUGAACAGCUCUGUUGUGAAAUCAAAAGAAUGCUAGCAUUGAGCAGAAUGAAUAAAGUCUGUUCAACCUUACAGUCACCUUAUGUUUGAUGGUUCUACACUAGAUUUGGAUAUGAGCUGUCCCCAAAAAGCACAUGGAUUGAAGACUUGGGUCUCCAAAGCAACAAUGCUCAGAAGAGGAGCUUCUCAGAAGUUAUUGAUCAUAUGGGCUGAGUUCAUCCAUGAAUUAAUCCAAUGAAUUAAUCCAGUACAUCGGGCUUAUUAGGAAGUAGACUCCAGUAGGGUUCUCACAGUCCUUCCAUACUUAAAGACACAGCUGCUUCUUGUCUGUUUCCAAUUCAGUGCUUCCAAAGCAGGGGUAGUUUUACCAUCCAAAAACCAUUUAGCACAGUUGGAAGAUUAUUUUGGAUGCAAGAGCAAAGCUGGCAGGUGGAGCUGCUAAUGCUAUCUACUGGUUGGGGCUCAAAGAUGCUACUCAACAUGCUACAGUGCCCAGGUCAGCCUUGCCACAGAAAAUGAUCCCACGCCCCCUGUGUCUACUACAGUGCACAGGCCGAGACACCUUGGUUUCACUCAAAGAUCUAUCUCGUGCAUUUUAAACGCUUACUGUCUUCUUGGGCAAUGGUUGUCCAACAGGAAGACCGUCCUACUGCCUAAGCUCAUUUGGCAACACACGACGAUUAUUUUUGUUGUCGCAACUGGGAAGUGGGAUAGAAAAGGCACCAGGCACUGUAAACAUCCCACAGUGCUGAACAACCCCAACAGCAAUGAAUCAGCAAGACUCAAGGAUCCACCUUGCUCAGCAGUCCAAAGACUCUUCAAUAGAGAGCCUCCUGUGCGUGAGAAUCACACAGUGUUGCUCCCAUGUCUGGACUGGAAAAUGCGCAAUCCUGGAAAUCACCCAAAGGGACCUAGGAACAUGGGUCACCUCCAUUCCAUCUCCAGGCUUUCCAGGAAUUUCCACUGUCCAGGGUGCUGCUCUUCAUCAGCCCAGGGGCAGAUCUCUGUUGCCUACUUCCUUCUCCUAAGAAGUGUGUGAGUAUCACUGACCUUAGCACAGCAUCUGUUACUAGGAGGGCUUGUUUUCCUUCUCAGAGAAUGCUGGAGGCACGACUUGGCCUCUACUCACAGCAUUCUCUGUUGUUUACACCCCAGGCAUGCAAGGGAAGUACUUGAGGCCAUGGCCUAGAGCCACAAGGGUUCCUCUCAAACAGGGCCAGAAUGUAAAAGAGAAGAUAAGAUCAAAGCAUCACUCUGAAAAUAAAAAAUUAAAAUAAAAGAUUCAAGAUUG